UACGUAGGGUGCAAGCGUUGUCCGGAAUUAUUGGGCGUAAAGAGCUCGUAGGCGGUUUGUCGCGUCUGCUGUGAAAACCCGAGGCUCAACCUCGGGCCUGCAGUGGGUACGGGCAGACCAGAGUGCGGGUAGGGGAGAUUGGAAUUCCUGGUGUAGCGGUGGAAUGCGCAGAUAUCAGGAGGAACACCAAUGGCGAAGGCAGAUCUCUGGGCCGUAACUGACGCUGAGGAGCGAAAGCAUGGGGAGCGAACAGG
rnacentral:rRNA from 1 species